rnacentral:rRNA from 1 species
GACGAACGCUGGCGGCGUGCCUAAUACAUGCAAGUUGAGCGCUGAAGGUUGGUACUUGUACCAACUGGAUGAGCAGCGAACGGGUGAGUAACGCGUGGGGAAUCUGCCUUUGAGCGGGGGACAACAUUUGGAAACGAAUGCUAAUACCGCAUAAAAACUUUAAACACAAGUUUUAAGUUUGAAAGAUGCAAUUGCAUCACUCAAAGAUGAUCCCGCGUUGUAUUAGCUAGUUGGUGAGGUAAAGGCUCACCAAGGCGAUGAUACAUAGCCGACCUGAGAGGGUGAUCGGCCACAUUGGGACUGAGACACGGCCCAAACUCCUACGGGAGGCAGCAGUAGGGAAUCUUCGGCAAUAGACGAAAGUCUGACCGAGCAACGCCGCGGGAGUGAAGAAGGGUUUCGGAUCGUAAAACUCUGUUGGUAGAGAAGAACGUUGGUGAGAGUGGAAAGCUCAUCAAGUGACGGUAACUACCCAGAAAGGGACGGCUAACUACGUG